rnacentral:misc_RNA from 1 species
CGCACAUUGCGCCCGCCAGUAUUCUGGCGGGCAUGCCUGUUCGAGCGUCAUUUCAACCCUCAAGCCCCCGGGUUUGGUGUUGGGAUCCGUGUCGUCUAGCACGUCACGGUCCCCAAAUACAUUGGCGGUCACGCUGCAGCUUCCAUUGCGUAGUAAUUACACCUCGCAACUGGUACGCGGCGCGGCCACGCCGUUAAACCCCAACUUCUGAAUGUUGACCUCGGAUCAGGUAGGAAUACCCGCUGAACUUAA